GGACUACUAGGGUAUCUAAUCCUGUUUGCUCCCCACGCUAUCGCGCCUGAGUGUCGGUAACGGGCCAGUGAGCCGCCUUCGCCACUGGUGUUCUUCCGAAUAUCUACGAAUUUCACCUCUACACUCGGAAUUCCACUCACCUCUCCCGUACCCAAGUCUUACAGUCUCAAAGGCAGUUCCAGAGUUGAGCUCUGGGCUUUCACCCCUGACUUGCAAAACCACCUGCGCGCGCUUUACGCCCAGUAAUUCCGAACAACGCUAGCCCCCUUCGUAUUACCGCGGCUGCUGGCAC
rnacentral:rRNA from 1 species